rnacentral:rRNA from 1 species
CCCUUAGAUGUUCUGGGCCGCACGCGCGCUACACUGACGAAUGCAACGAGCUUAUAACCUUGGCCGAAAGGUCUGGGUAAUCUCCAAAUUUCGUCGUGAUGGGGAUAGAUUAUUGCAAUUAUUAAUCUUCAACGAGGAAUGCCUAGUAAGCGCAAGUCAUCAGCUUGCGUUGAUUACGUCCCUGCCCUUUGUACACACCGCCCGUCGCUCCUACCGAUUGAAUGGUCCGGUGAAGCGUUCGGACCGUGGCCUUUGGACGGUUCGCCGUCUGUUGGCUGCGGGAAGUUCGUUAAACCUUAUAAUUUAGAGGAAGGAGAAGUCGUAACA